CGGCGGACGGGUGAGUAACGCGUGGGUAACCUGCCUCAUACAGGGGGAUAACAGUUAGAAAUGACUGCUAAUACCGCAUAAGCGCACAGUGCCGCAUGGUACGGUGUGAAAAACUCCGGUGGUAUGAGAUGGACCCGCGUCUGAUUAGCUAGUUGGUGGGGUAACGGCCUACCAAGGCGACGAUCAGUAGCCGACCUGAGAGGGUGACCGGCCACAUUGGGACUGAGACACGGCCCAA
rnacentral:rRNA from 1 species